rnacentral:snoRNA from 1 species
UACAGUUUGCCAACACUCUCGUGCCACAUCUCUCCCUUUGAAAUAAAUUGGAGUGCCUGUAUAUGGUUCGUAUUUUGGUGCAAACAAGAUUAACACGGCAAUUACUCAGCUUCUCAAUGUGUGUGACUCUUCUUACAUACUUGGCCUCGGUCAAGAUAGUAAGCUGACUCCUUAGAUAUUGAUGCUUGCUCCAUUUCAAGGCCGGAAAU